rnacentral:rRNA from 1 species
UGAUCCUACGGGGGGCAGCAGUGAGGAAUAUUGGUCAAUGGUCGGGAGACUGAACCAGCCAAGCCGCGUGAGGGAUGAAGGUACAGAGUAUCGUAAACCUCUUUUGUCAGGGAACAAAGGCGGGGACGUGUCCCCGGAUGAGUGUACCUGAAGAAAAAGCAUCGGCUAACUCCGUGCCAGCAGCCGCGGUAAUACGGAGGAUGCGAGCGUUAUCCGGAUUUAUUGGGUUUAAAGGUUGCGCCGUCUGUCUGUUAAGUCAGCGGUCAAAGCCCGGGGCUCAACCCCGGCCCGCCUUUGAAACUUGC